UAUAUCUGUAACAUUUUUUUUUUAUAAUCGGAUCUAUCUAUUUACUCGAUCUGUCUUAUCAUACAGUUUUUGAACAGAAUUAUGUAGUCACCUUCGACUUGCUUGUCCAUUUCGAAUUCCUCCUGUCUGAUGUUUAUCCUUUACAAUUCGCCGUGAGCGCCAGUAGAAUGGAUUAAACGUAAAGUUGCGCCGGCGUAGCAGUUGAAAGACUUUUAAACUACGUGCAGUUCAGUUUUUGUCAGCCCCCUAAAGAUUCAACCUACACUCUGUAAAUGACUGCAAAAUCAUUCUGCACGUAGGGGACGUAACGACGUAGAAUACCAGAAGUGUGAAGAAAUGGUGAGGAAAUAACGAAAGAUAAACACUAUCUCUAAAAUGGUAAUCUUUAAAAUUGUUGCACCCUUGCUUCACGGUGCUUGUGACAGCAUAACAACAUUAAUAAAGAAUUAAGGUUUGAGACGUGAAUAAAGAUAAAUGCACCAGUCUGAGACUCUCUGUGUGUCAAUUCAAUUAAAUCAAGGACUGCUACAGUGAAAACAUCUGAAAUGUUCUUCACGUCUUGUGCUGCGUGAUACCUCAAGACGAGCAGAUGUCCAGCUGAAAACCUGCACUCAGGCAAGUUCAGGGUCUGACAGCACAUCAUAUAUGCGGAUGCUACAGAUACAGUGAUAAAUCCUUGUCUAUAAGGGAGAGUGAAAUUUGAACAUCCUUAUAUAUAAAGUACUUAAACCUACAUGGGCUAUA